rnacentral:rRNA from 1 species
AUACGGAGGAUCCGAGCGUUAUCCGGAUUUAUUGGGUUUAAAGGGUGCGUAGGUGGAUUAAUAAGUCAGCGGUGAAAUCCCGGAGCUCAACUCCGAAACUGCCGUUGAAACUGUUAGUCUUGAGUGUGAACGAGGUAGGCGGAAUUCGUAGUGUAGCGGUGAAAUGCAUAGAUAUUACGAAGAACACCGAUAGCGCAGGCAGCUUACCAGGCCACAACUGACACUGAUGCACGAAAGUGUGGGUAUCAAACAGGAUUAGAUACCCUGGUAGUCCACACAGUAAACGAUGAAUACUAACUGUUUGCGAUAUACAGUAAGCGGUACAGCGAAAGCGUUAAGUAUUCCACCUGGGGAGUACGCCGACAACGGUGAAACUCAAAGGAAUUGACGGGG